GAAAGAGACUUGGCCUUAGCUUCUUAAUCUGAUCAACCGCAGUUUUACCCCAAAUCUAUUUUCACCUUCUCCUCCUUUUUUCAGGUACCAAUUUGUUUGUUCUUCCCCCAUUUAUCGUUGGCAGGCCCACUUCAUUUGGUUCAUAGUGUGAUGCUCUUGGUGGGAAAGUCAGCUAGACUAAUGUUACACUAUGUUUUAUAUUACUUGGGGAUAUGUACUUGGCUUCGACGCUUAUAUGUCUGGUGCCUUCACAGAGCUACUAUUGGCUGACGGUUGUCUUUUAUGCGCGGUACUCGAAGAUCAACUUCCCUACGCCUUUGCGGAACAAUUAAGUUAAACCCCCCAAUAUUUUAUUUUGGAAGCAGCUUUUGGCCUUUCAAAAAAACCAAUUCAAAUUAAAAGCCCCCGAAAAGGGGGCAGCAGUCUCAAGUACCCGGUAUCCGCUAGUCGGAUUACUUCAUUAUGGUGCUUUCCUAUUCAUUGCUUUCCUUGGCAGAGCGCCCAACGGUCCAAUGAUGGAAACAUGUUGCAUGCCCAAAAAGUCGCGCGGGAGAGCUACGGACCACGGGAGAUACCACGAGAUGAGAUGCCGUCCGGCACAUCUUCGAUUCUCGGCGAAAUCCCCCCAAGUUACAAUGGGUCUAAAACGCGUGGAUACACAUAUGCAUGACCGUGUACAUAUUUGUGAACGAGUCUCAACCUAGAACAAUGCACAGAAGAUACACUCGAAAUAUGUGAAUACGUUUUAAAUUUAGAUCAUUAUGAACAGCCGAAUAUAUGCUAGCGCUGCUGUACUAACCCAAAAUACACCUCAAACCAUCUCGAAUGCUAACUGCAAGUAUUUUUGGCUAUGUUUAUGAAACCUAAUAUACUAUGGUUGCUUUUAAAACAUCAAAUGAUCGGAAUCACAACAUGUCAAAUUGUUUUGGUUUAGCUUA